AUGAACGCUGGCGGCGUGCCUAAUACAUGCAAGUCGAGCGAACAGACGAGGAGCUUGCUCCUCUGACGUUAGCGGCGGACGGGUGAGUAACACGUGGAUAACCUACCUAUAAGACUGGGAUAACUUCGGGAAACCGGAGCUAAUACCGGAUAAUAUAUUGAACCGCAUGGUUCAAUAGUGAAAGACGGUUUUGCUGUCACUUAUAGAUGGAUCCGCGCCGCAUUAGCUAGUUGGUAAGGUAACGGCUUACCAAGGCAACGAUGCGUAGCCGACCUGAGAGGGUGAUCGGCCACACUGGAACUGAGACACGGUCCAGACUCCUACGGGAGGCAGCAGUAGGGAAUCUUCCGCAAUGGGCGAAAGCUUGACGGAGCAACGCCGCGUGAGUGAUGAAGGUCUUCGGAUCGUAAAACUCUGUUAUUAGGGAAGAGCAAAUGUGUAAGUAACUAUGCACGUCUUGACGGUACCUAAUCAGAAAGCCACGGCUAACUACGUG
rnacentral:rRNA from 1 species